UGUUGGCUUGGAAGCAGCCAUUCAUUUAAAGAGUGCGUAACAGCUCACUGGUCGAGAGAUCCUGCACGGAAAAUAAUCGGGCAUCAAACCAUGAACCGAAGUUCUAAGAUCCAGCAAUGGAUCGGUAGGGGAGCAUUCAAAUCAGCGUUGAAGGUGUGCGGCGACGCAUGCUGGAGCGAUUUGAAAAGAAAAUGUAGGCAUAAGUAACGAUAAGUAAAGUGAAAAACUUUACCGCGAAAAGUCUAAGGUUUCCUGAUCAACGUUAAUCGGAUCAGGGUUAGUCUGGUCCUUAGGAAAACCCGAAAGGGGCAUCUGAUGGAAAGAGGGUUAAUAUUCCCUCACCUGCCAUACAAUAAAAGUGACGCAGGGACGUGGUGGUUGCGUACGUACGGAAGUGUACGCUGAGCUAAGUCUUCGGACGAGGCGAAACCAUAAAAUCCCUGCCAAGAAAAGCGAGUAAGGCAGCCAGUACCGCAAACCGACACAGGUAGACGGGAUGAGUAUUCUAACGCGCUCGGGUGAGCCGUGGAGAAGGAACUAGGCAAAUUGACGCUGUAACUUCGGGAUAAAGCGUACCAUAGCGAUAUGGUCACAGUAAAAUGGUUCAACCAACUGUUUAACAAAAACACAGGGCCCUGCAAAAUCGUAAGAUGACGUAUAGAGCCUGAAACCUGCCCGGUGCUGGAAGGUUAAGGAAGGGUGUUCGUAGCAAUACAAAGCUCCUGACUGAAGCCCCAGUAAACGGCGGCCGUAUAACAAUAACGGUCCUAAGGUAGCGAAAUUCCUUGUCGGGUAAGUUCCGACCUGCACGAAUGGUCUAAUGAGUUGAACACUGUCUCCUCCACGAGCCCGGUGAAAUUGUAGUAUCGGUGAAGAUGCCGGUUACCCGCCACGGGACGGAAAGACCCCGUGAACCUUCACUACAACUUUGCAUUGAUUUUGAGCAACCGAUGUGUAGGAUAGUUGGGAGACUAUGAAGCAGUGGCGCCAGCUGUUGUGGAGUCAACGUUGAAAUACCAACCUUCGUUUGCUUAGAGUCUAACCCUGCGAAGGGGACAUUGCAUGGUGGGUAGUUUGACUGGGGUGGUCGCCUCCUAAAAAGUAACGGAGGCUCGCAAAGGUACCCUCAGUACGGUUGGUAAUCGUACGCAGAGCGCAUUAGUAAAAGGGUGCUUGACUGUGAGACAAACAGGUCGAACAGGAGCGAAAGCUGGCUAAAGUGAUCCGGUGGUUCUGCAUGGAAGGGCCAUCGCUCAAAGGAUAAAAGGUACUCCGGGGAUA
rnacentral:rRNA from 1 species